GGAAGCAGAUGAAAAUGCUCCGAACGGCUUGAUUCGGCUUUGCAAGCCGGAGGUCACCGGUUCGAUCCCGGUACGCUCCA
rnacentral:tRNA from 1 species